rnacentral:piRNA from 1 species
UAUAGCGUGUAACAAAAAUGG